rnacentral:rRNA from 1 species
GCAGUCGCCGCGGGAAUACGGAGGGAGCUAGCGUUGUUCGGAAUUACUGGGCGUAAAGCGCGCGUAGGCGGUUAUUCAAGUCAGAGGUGAAAGCCCGGGGCUCAACCCCGGAACUGCCUUUGAAACUAGGUGACUAGAAUCUUGGAGAGGUCAGUGGAAUUCCGAGUGUAGAGGUGAAAUUCGUAGAUAUUCGGAAGAACACCAGUGGCGAAGGCGACUGACUGGACAAGUAUUGACGCUGAGGUGCGAAAGCGUGGGGAGCAAACAGGAUUAGAUACCCCCGUAGUCCCUGUCUCUUAUAC